AGAAUUCCAGGUGUAGCGGUGAAAUGCGUAGAGAUCUGGAGGAAUACCGGUGGCGAAGGCGGCCCCCUGGACAAAGACUGACGCUCAGGUGCGAAAGCGUGGGGAGCAAACAGGAUUAGAUACCCUGGUAGUCCACGCCGUAAACGAUGUCUACUUGGAGGUUGUGCCCUUGAGGCGUGGCUUCCGGAGCUAACGCGUUAAGUAGACCGCCUGGGGAGUACGGCCGCAAGGUUAAAACUCAAAUGAAUUGACGGGGGCCCGCACAAGCGGUGGAGCAUGUGGUUUAAUUCGAUGCAACGCGAAGAACCUUAC
rnacentral:rRNA from 2 species